ensembl:lncRNA
CUCUGUCUACACUGAGACACAAUCACCCAUCCAGCCAGCAGAGAGAGAGAGAGAGAGAGGGGGAGAGCGCUCUCUGUCUACACUGAGACACAAUCACCCAUCCAGGCAGCAGAGAGAGAGAGGGAGGGAGAGGGGAGAGCUCUCUCGGUCUACACUGAGACACAAUCACCCAUCCAGACAGCAGAGAGAGAGAGAGAGAGAGGGAAGCGAGGAUAGAGGUAUGAAGGAUAGAGAGAGAAACAAAGAGAGAGAGAGAUAGACACUGGAUAUUGAAGUAUUGGACUCAGACAAUCAGACACAUUGAGACUAGGACACUCCCAGAGUGAAGCCAUUCAGAUAGUGACUAGGUUGGGUUAUGGUAAUAAACAAGCCUGUAACACAUCGUUGGUUAUUACAGAGUUGGAUUUGUGUUGAUUUAAGAGAGAAAAGUGAGAGAAUGAGGUGACAGAAAGAGAAGAGAAGAGUGAGAGAAUGAGGUGACAGAAAGAGAAGAGGGAGAGAAUGAGGUGACAGAAAGAGAAGAGGGAGAGAAUGAGGUGACAGAAAGAGAAGAGAAGAGUGAGAGAAUGAGGUGACAGAAAGAGAAGAGUGAGAGAAUGAGGUGGCAGAAAGAGAAGAGGGAGAGAAUGAGGUGACAGACAGAGAGGUGGGAGAGAAUGAGGUGGCAGAAAGAGAAGAGGGAGAGAAUGAGGUGGCAGAAAGAGAAGAGGGAGAGAAUGAGGUGACAGAAAGAGAAGAGGGAGAGAAUGAGGUGGCAGAAAGAGGAGAGUGAGAGAAUGAGGUGGCAGAAAGAGAAGAGGGAGAGAAUGAGGUGACAGACAGAGAAGAGGGAGAGAAUGAGGUGGCAGAAAGAGAAGAGGGAGAGAAUGAGGUGACAGACAGA